AUGGGCUGCACUUCACGAGCGAAAGGCUCCCAUGACAAACACGAGGGAGACUCAGUGAUGGAUAGCUCUGGAGUCAGGCUGGGUCAAAGCGAACGCCGACGGUGCCGUCUGAAGGCAUGGCGGCAAAAGUGGCGGCGGUGUCGUCCUGAGAGGCCACCAUGGGGACUUCAGAGCGGCGGCUUGCACGUUCAGGGCCGGAGAGGUGGACGCCGAGACGGCGGGCUGAUGGCUUGCAGGAGGGCGAUCCAACUAGCAGGAGAGAUCAAUGUACAUAAGCUACACCUCGAGACGGAUAGCAAAACGGUGGCGAGCAUGCUUGCAGACCCGGACAAGAACCUCUCGGCGUCGGGACCGUGUGUUGAGGAGAUCAAACAGAUGGUGCGUGGCUUCAGCGAGGUGAAAGUGUCGUGGGUACGACGUUCAGCAAACUUCGCUGCUCAUAAAUUAGCUAAGGUAGGUGUAGGAGAGGAACGCUGUAAGCUUUGGCUUAUGGUACCUCUAGACUUUGUACUCGAUGUGAUCUCAGAUGAGAUCCCAGACUAUUACUAG
rnacentral:rRNA from 1 species